UGUUCAAGUUGUGAUUUUGGUUCGAAUUCGCCUACAAACGUACUGAUUUUUCUUUUUGGUUACAUGUUUCUUUGGAAUGUUUGGAAUUUUUUUUUUUAGGUCUUUAGAGGACACUUCUUGUCUCUCGUCGCUACAAUGGGAAUACGCGCCUUCCCCCUUUUUUUUAUCGGUUGUUGCGUUUUUUUUUUAAGAUAAAAUCUAUUGAGAGAUGACACGAAAUUUAGGUUUUUGUGUACCAAAGGGCAGCUAAUCUUUCCCUCCGCGGUUCGUUUCCUUCUGAGCAAUAAGAUUGUUCCCUGCUGACUGCUGAGUGUUGUGUUUAUGUCUUCGUUUCUGGCUAUUGAUUUUGGGUAAAUUUUGAAUCUUGUAUCGUUGGGAGGUCUACAUGUUUUUUUCUUUUUCCUUUUUUUGGCAUGAGAGGCAUUCAUCGUUUAUCUCUUGGCAUCUGAAUCAAUUAUUUGCUUUAUCUUGCAACUGGUGUUCUUUUCGUUACGGUGGAUGGAUGUAAAUAUUGACUGCGAUUUUAAUUUUCUCAGCUUUCUAGAAAUAUGUUUUUGUUUUCUGCAAGCAUCACCCUGUCAAUUAUUUUAUGAACUGAGAUAUCCUUUUCUGUUUCCGUUUCGAUCCCUUUGUUGAUUGUAUGUAAACAAAAAGGUUCACAGUUUUGUCAAUGGUAUAACUCAGGCAUCUGCACCGAUGAUUUACUAUCACCGAACAUCUAUAUUAGUUUGUAUCUGUAAAUAUUUUGAGAUCAUAAACAUUACCAGCAACCCUUACACCAUGUACUUGCAGCUUGCUUUAUCCAUUAUUACUUGCUAUUCAUUUUUCCAAGUACCAAAGGGCACAUCCUUAGUUUCCAUUCAUUAGAUUUGUUGGUAAUAUAAUGUGGAAUUUUUUUUCUCGUCCUUAGAUGCAUGAUAAUAAUUUUUGAACUGAAGUACAUUUCAUACCGUCCACCUUGUCUACAUAUUCCUAUUUUCCAUGUACUUUGUAAUCAAGUAAUGUCCUGUCUUAUGACAUUCAUUGAGGAUUUUUCAGUUCUUCCUCUUAUUCCUUCAGAUAUUAGACAAAGAGAAAUGCUAGGAUGUCCAGCCCUAUCACCGAAAAAUAGCUCCACACUGCCAGCAUGACACUUGGCACAGGAGGGUUGGUGCUUUAGCCUACUGUAAAUUGUAUUUACUCAUUGAAUCACUCCAAUCCCCUCAUGCCACAUUGAAUGCUCACCAUGCAAGACUUUUCUUUUCUUUUCUCUUCUUUUUUUUCAUGCUAACAAGGGUUGUUCUCUGUAGUAUUACUCCUGGACAAAUCAAACCUUUUAUGAUCUUUCGUGGAUCUUUUGCCCAUAUAUCCUUACCUUGGAAGAUAAAAUCUAGAGGGCUGAAGGCGAAUCAAAGACUAGUUGCUAGUAGAAGGCCCUAUUAUACAUUUCCUGAUGACUUCGGAAAAUGAAGAUGAAGUUCCCUUUCUGGCUCUGAGCGAGGAGAACAAACUGACGCUCUUUCCUUUAAUGUUCUUACAUAAAGAAGCUCCAUCUACUAGCAGUUCCUUUCCAUGGACUGACAUGCUACAUGCAUCUGCCGAGAUUGAAUGCCCACUUGAGAAAUGGGUUCAUGUUGGGUGUGAGGUAGCAACAAAUCAUAUGUGCCUUCACAUUGAUGGAAAACUGAUCGGGGAGGAACCUCUGACAUCCCUAUCCAGUGAGCAUCACUUUCGAAACAAUUUGAAGAGAAUAAGUUUAGCUGGUAAUGAUGGGAAUCUUGAUGGUUAUGUCUGUCAUGUUCAAGUUUUGGCUAUAUCAGCAUCGAUAAAAGAUCAGUUUGUAAAGAAUCCACCGCUAAAGUUAUCUCUUGAUAGUUCAUCCAUCUUUGAUGGAGUUGAAGAAGGUGGGGAUGGUGUCUGGAGCAUUGUUGGUGGCAAGGCUUCUUGUCGCAGGAAUUUUUGCCUUGAUGUUGUUCUUGCAAAUGCUUUUGGUCGGUCUGUAAACAAGGAGAUGGAGAUUGUUGCUUCACUUGUAUAUGCUGACAAUGGAACCCCUGUUGAAAAGACCAGAGAUGAUGCGGAAGCUCCAUUACUGACGAGCUAUGAUGGCCUUGAACAUCCUUCUACAGAUAGGCCAGUUCCGCUUAUUCGCGGACGUGCAACCUUUAAACUGAAGAUAUCUCAGCUGUCUUCUAAAUCUGACAAUAGGCUAUUCCGUGUUUGUUUUCGUACAACACAUGCUCAAACAUAUCCAUUUCUAGAAGCAUAUUCCCAUCCAAUCCGUUGCAUCUCAAGGAAUCGCAGUAACCGGCCAUUGGCUCUUGGGAAAAGAUUGGCUUCCACAACAGCCCUUCUUGAUGAGAUUCAUUCACUCAAAGGCAAUGAUGGGUCCGGAUUAAAUCAUGAUAUCUAUGGAGAUGAUCGCUUCGACAUGUUGAAUCAGAGUGUAUUGAGAAGUAAUACCCCAUCAAAGCAUUCUAAACUAGAAAAUGAUAAAUCACCUUCAGCAAUUGAUACUAAUGGAAUCUUGGAAAAGGAUGAGAUGUCACUGAAGACAAGCUUAGAAGUAAGAUCAAAUAAUUUUGAAGGAACAGAUGGUGCACUAUCAGAUUCUGAGAGCACUGAUGCUAGGAACUAUGAAUCCAGAUGGACAAAAGAGGUUAUGACCCCAAUUUCAGAUGCUGUCAUCUUUAAAUACUGUUUGGAAGGCACAUAUGAGCGGUUGAUGUUACUCAAAGAGAUGAUAACUUCUUCUAGUAAUGAAGAUAUCACCAAUUUCGCAGAGCAAGUUUGCCUGUAUGCUGGAUGUUCUCAUCACAGGUAUCAAAUAUUGAUUUCAAAGCAGUUGCUCCAAGAGGGUGUUGAUACUUGGAACUCAAUUACUCAGAACAGUCACCAUGUUCUCUGGACAGACGCAGUUCCUCAGAUCGAUAAAAGAUUCAGGAAUAUUGCCUGUUCUAACAGGGGAUUGUCGGGAGAGGACCUCGAGGUUUUGCGAGGAAUUGCUGGAUGCGGCGAUCAAUUGGGCCAUGAAGAAUUUGCUAGAAUGUGGUACUGGUUGUACCCUGUAGCAUUUGCUUUGUCAAAUGAACAAAUAAAUACUCUGUGGGCGUGCCUGUCACCCAAAUGGCUAGAAGGAUUAAUUACCAGGGAGGAAGCUGAGAUUGCACUUAAUGGCUCCAGAGGACUGCAGAGACCUGGAACCUUUGUUCUCAGGUUUCCAACCUCUCGCAGCUGGCCCCACCCAGAUGCCGGUAGCUUAGCUAUCACCUAUGUUGGUGCUGAUUCCACGCUUCAUCAUAAGCUUCUUUCUCUUGAUUAUAGGAAAAAAGACUCCAGACCACUUCAAGAGUUGCUUUUCGAAGAGCCUGAAUUAUCCCAAUUGGGAAGGGUUUUUCGACAGGGGAACACUGCUUGCCAGAGCUGAAGAAUGACUUUGGUAAGGUCACGAGUUUUCAGAGGCACCUCACUGCCGGGAGAGUGUAUUAUUUUCUUGUGUAAAAAUAUGAUGCUACAUACUGGAGGGUUUUGCUCCUGGACGAGAGGGAAAUGUAAUUAGUCAUUACCCCGGGUUUGGACUGGAGAUGGUCGGCCGGUCUGCCAAUCACAACAAUCCAUAUAUGGUGCAACAAAAGAUGGCCAUGAUUAAGUGGGUCUUUGUGCAGCAACGGAUAGCAUUCAGUGAAGCUUAAUCAUGGCCAUCAUGCAUGGUCCUGUGACUAGGCCUCUCCAACCCAACCUUGGACCAAAUUUGUUCUCAGAAACAUCAAUUCAGAUGAUCAAAACCAGUAAACUGAUCGAGAAUUACUUUGAAUCAGUGAUCGAUGAGUAUUGGUGGAGGGACAAGCCAACUCUGACGAAGACCACCAUGAGAUUGAAAUUUAGCAGUUACUUGGCUUGAAGCAGCCUUGGCUUGAAGCAGCCUUGAUCAUAUAACAUGAGAUCAAUAACCUCAUCAGUUGAGGUAUGCUACUCAACUAUCAACCAGCAUUAGAGUCGUCAUAAUGCAACUUCUAUUGAGAAUAUUUCUGCUGAUUUUUUUAUCCAAACGACCAACGUUCAUCAGACAUGAAUGCAUGAAUAAAGUUGACUGCAUAAAUACAUUGAAAAUUCUUAGUAUCAUCAACCAAUCGGCCAAUCAAUGGUAGAAGCUGGUUCAUCUUUUCA